rnacentral:lncRNA from 1 species
UGCCGGUGACCUCGACGGAGGAGGAAUCAGAAGUGGAUGUAGAUCACAACGAUCGAACCACUAUAAAUUCCAGAGUGGUCAUUUCAUUUUGCUUUUUACUACUAUUGUUACUUUCUAAGUUAAUUGCUAGUUCAUUUACUCUAAAGUCAAGCACUUUCCAAAAUUGAUUUUCAACAAAUGAAUAUCUUACAAAAUUGAUGAUUUUUCUACUGUAC